AAGGUAGCGAAAUUCCUUGUCGGGUAAGUUCCGACCCGCACGAAAGGCGUAACGAUUUGGGCACUGUCUCAACGAGAGACUCGGUGAAAUCAUAGUACCGGUGAAGAUGCCGGUUACCCGCGACAGGACGGAAAGACCCCGUGGAGCUUUACUGUAGCCUGAUAUUGAAAUUCGGUACAGUUUGUACAGGAUAGGUAGGAGCCUUAGAAGCGUGAGCGCUAGCUUACGUGGAGGCAUUGGUGGGAUACUACCCUAAUUGUAUUGGAUUUCUAACCCGCAGCACUUAUCGUGCUGGGAGACAGUGUCAGGCGGGCAGUUUGACUGGGGCGGUCGCCUCCUAAAGAGUAACGGAGGCGCUCAAAGGUUCCCUCAGAAUGGUUGGAAAUCAUUCAUAGAGUGUAAAGGCAUAAGGGAGCUUGACUGCGAGACCUACAAGUCGAGCAGGGUCGAAAGACGGACUUAGUGAUCCGGUGGUUCCGCAUGGAAGGGCCAUCGCUCAACGGAUAAAAGCUACCCCGGGGAUAACAGGCUUAUCUCCCCCAAGAGUUCACAUCGACGGGGAGGUUUGGCACCUCGAUGUCGGCUCAUCGCAUCCUGGGGCUGUAGUCGGUCCCAAGGGUUGGGCUGUUCGCCCAUUAAAGCGGUACGCGAGCUGGGUUCAGAACGUCGUGAGACAGUUCGGUCCCUAUCCGUCGUGGGCGUAGGAAAUUUGAGAGGAGCUGUCCUUAGUACGAGAGGACCGGGAUGGACAUACCUCUGGUGUACCAGUUGUCGUGCCAACGGCAUAGCUGGGUAGCUAUGUAUGGACGGGAUAAGUGCUGAAAGCAUCUAAGCAUGAAGCCCCCCUCGAGAUGAGAUUUCCCAACUUC
rnacentral:rRNA from 1 species